rnacentral:rRNA from 1 species
AUACGGAGGGUCCAAGCGUUAUCCGGAAUCAUUGGGUUUGAAGGGUCCGUAGGCGGACAAUUAAGUCAGAGGUGAAAGCCCACAGCUCAACUGUGGAACUGCCUUUGAUACUGGUUGUCUUGAAUUAUAGUGAAGUAGAUAGAAUAUGUAGUGUAGCGGUGAAAUGCAUAGAUAUUACAUAGAAUACCGAUUGCGAAGGCAGUCUACUAACUAUAUAUUGACGCUGAUGGACGAAAGCGUGGGGAGCGAACAGGAUUAGAAACCCUAGUAGUCC